rnacentral:rRNA from 1 species
AGCGAACGCUGGCGGCAGGCCUAACACAUGCAAGUCGAACGAACCUUUCGGGGUUAGUGGCGGACGGGUGAGUAACACGUGGGAACGUGCCUUUAGGUUCGGAAUAACUCAGGGAAACUUGUGCUAAUACCGAAUGUGCCCUUCGGGGGAAAGAUUUAUCGCCUUUAGAGCGGCCCGCGUCUGAUUAGCUAGUUGGUUGAGGUAAUGGCUCACCAAGGCGACGAUCAGUAGCUGGUCUGAGAGGAUGAUCAGCCACAUUGGGACUGAGACACGGCCCAAACUCCUACGGGAGGCAGCAGUGGGGAAUCUUGCGCAAUGGGCGAAAGCCUGACGCAGCCAUGCCGCGUGAAUGAUGAAGGUCUUAGGAUUGUAAAAUUCUUUCACCGGGGACGAUAAUGACGGAACCCGGAGAAGAAGCCCCGGCUAACUUCGU